rnacentral:rRNA from 1 species
ACGAACGCUGGCGGCGUGCUUAACCCAUGCCAGUCGCACGGAAAGGCCCUGCUUUUGUGGGGUGCUCGAGUGGCGAACGGGUGAGUAACACGUGAGUAACCUUCCCUUGACUUUGGGAUAACUUCAGGAAACUGGGGCUAAUACCGGAUAGGAGCUCCUGCUGCAUGGUGGGGGUUGGAAAGUUUCGGCGGUUGGGGAUGGACUCGCGGCUUAUCAGCUUGUUGGUGGGGUAGUGGCUUACCAAGGCUUUGACGGGUAGCCGGCCUGAGAGGGUGACCGGCCACAUUGGGACUGAGAUACGGCCCAGACUCCUACGGGAGGCAGCAGUGGGGAAUAUUGCACAAUGGGCGGAAGCCUGAUGCAGCAACGCCGCGUGCGGGAUGACGGCCUUCGGGCUGUAAACCGCUUUCGCCUGUGACGAAGCGUGAGUGACGGUAAUGGGUAAAGAAGCACCGGCUAACUACGUG